CACAGGUGCUGCAUGGCUGUCGUCAGCUCGUGUCGUGAGAUGUUGGGUUAAGUCCCGCAACGAGCGCAACCCUUAUCCCUAGUUGCCAUCAGGUAAAGCUGGGAACUCUGGGGAGACUGCCGGUGAUAAACCGGAGGAAGGCGGGGAUGACGUCAAGUCCUCAUGGCCCUUACAUCCCGGGCUACACACGUGCUACAAUGGCAGGUACAGAGGGCUGCGAAGCCGCGAGGUGGAGCGAAUCCCAGAAAACCUGUCUCAGUCCGGAUUGAAGUCUGCAACUCGACUUCAUGAAGGCGGAAUCGCUAGUAACCGCGAAUCAGCAGGUCGCGGUGAAUACGUUCCCGGGCCUU
rnacentral:rRNA from 1 species